CCCAGCAGUAGUCAGCUGCGCUGGCUGCUCGGUGCCCGUGCCAGUGUUACACUGCUGGGAGAGAAAGGUGCUGCUGAGCUCUCCUGGCACCAGCGGGGCCGUCUUGGCACUCUGUGAUGCCAGGUUUUGGCAGCACCGUGCAUGCCAGAGAGUGGAGUAACUCCUGCCCGUGGAGUUAGAGCCUAGAUUGGAUGCAGACAAC
ensembl:snoRNA SNORA74 Small nucleolar RNA SNORA74